rnacentral:tRNA from 1 species
CAAAGUGUAGCUUAACUUCAAAGCAUCCGGCCUACACCCAGAAGAUUUCACAUUACGUGACCACUUUGA